AUUGAACGCUGGCGGCAGGCCUAACACAUGCAAGUCGAGCGGAUGAAUGGAGCUUGCUCCAUGAUUCAGCGGCGGACGGGUGAGUAAUGCCUAGGAAUCUGCCUGGUAGUGGGGGACAACGUUUCGAAAGGAACGCUAAUACCGCAUACGUCCUACGAGAGAAAGCAGGGGACCUUCGGGCCUUGCGCUAUCAGAUGAGCCUAGGUCGGAUUAGCUAGUAGGUGAGGUAAUGGCUCACCUAGGCGACGAUCCGUAACUGGUCUGAGAGGAUGUUCAGUCACACUGAAACGGAGACACGGUCCAAACCCCGACGGGAGGCAGCAGUGGGAAAUAUUGGACAAUGGGCGAAAGCCUAUUCCAGCCAUGCCUGUUGUGUGAAGAAGGUCUUCGGAUUGUAAGCACUUUAAGUUGGGAGGAAGGGCAGUAAGUUAAUACCUUAUUGUUUUGACGUUACCAACAGAAUAAGCACCGGCUAACUUCGUGCCAGCCGCCGCCGUAAAAC
rnacentral:rRNA from 1 species